GCAAUUUGGGUUAGAGGAUCACUUAAUUACCCCCUUGAAGCUAGAAGGUUUCAUGGAGUCAGAGGCUAUUUUAAAAAAUAAAAUGAAAAAGUCUGUAUUUACCAAAGAGCUCCUAGACACGUUGGCAAGAGAAAAGGCAAAUGGCAAAACACAUGGAAAAUAUCAGCAUCUUAAAUGGUCACAAAUUAUGUAUUCCCUCUUUGUCACACUGAAUCUACAGAGAAAACUGAAAACUCUACAGUGGCAAACAAGUCAAAAGAUGAAUUCUAAAAGUUAAAGGCACAGAUCAAACUACUUUUAGAGAUAACGUAACGGAAACUCAGGAUAGUUCUUGUAAAAUGAAACAGAACAUUCUGUGUUCAUC
rnacentral:lncRNA from 10 species